rnacentral:lncRNA from 1 species
GCCGCUCCCACGGCAUAUGGAGGUUCCCACGCUAGGGGUCCAAUCAGAGCUAUAGCCACUGGCCUACGCCAGAGCCACAGCAACUCGGGAUCCUAGCCGCAUCUGCAACCUACACCAUAGCUCACGGCAACGCCGGAUCUUUCACUCACUGAGCAAGGGCAGGGACCGAACCAGCAACCUCAUGGUUCCUAGUCGGAUUCGUUAACCACUGUGCCACGACGGGAACUCCCUCUUUUGCUUUAGAUUGAGGUAAAGCACACACCCAGGUUCAGGUUCCCAUUCUGCCACUCCCUGGAUGUAUGACUUGGGUGAGCUGUUGGUCUCUCUCAGCUGCUGUUUUCUCACUUGUGAAAUGAAAAUAACAAUAUAUCCCCUUAUAAUUUUUGGGAGAAUAAGAAGCAAAGUAUGUAAAAUGGCCAGGGCAGUGCUUGGAUCAAAUCUAUCAUGUGAUAUUGAGUACAUGCCCCUCUCGUCUCGGAUCGUAAGUCCUCUGCAGGCAGGGACAUGUCCCAGUCACUGCUGGCCCAGGGUUGGCAGGAAGAGGGGCUUCAGCAGUUGGUGAUGGGAAUUCUUCUUUCCCCGGUUCUCAGGAGAUUUGGCUUGAAGUCUGUAACAUUAAGAUCCGAUAGCAACUUAAAAGAUAAACAACCCCAGAAUAGGUUUUUUCGGCAUUAAACAGAGCAACUUUCGAAUGGGUCAUGUAGGAAAAAACAAAAAUCUUCACUAUGUUGUAUAGAGGAAGGCUCACAGGAUAUGGUUCACUCUGGAAAGAUGUACUGAGGAUUUCAAACUGAAGGCAAAUACAUUCAUAGUAAAAACAUUACAUAUGAUCUGCUAAUUAAAAAAAAAAAAAAAGAAAACAGUGUCAAACAAAAACACUCGGAUAAUCAUAUCUCUGUAAACCUCACUCGGAGGCUCGGUUUCCGUUUUUCCAAAGUUUCAGGGCUGGAUUAGUCCAUGGGCCUCACAGACUUUGAUAAGAUGUUGGCCUUCCCCCUAAAUAGAGGGGAAAGCCACUAGUGUUUUAAGCAAGAGUAGGCCAUGAUCUGAUUUAUGUUUUUUACAGCCUAGACUUUUCCUCACCUUUCCUGUGCUAUUACUGUUCUCCAUCCUGCCUUUUGUGCUUUAUCUCCUGUCAGUUUUUCUUUCUACAGAGCCCCCGUCCCACUCUAGCCUCCCUUCUCUGAACGCAGAGCAUUUGCUGGGAUCCUAAUCGCAUUCUGCCCCAUGACACGACCUGCUAUUAUUAUCUUCCGCACAUGUUCAUUCAUUCAUUCGACAAGCAUGUAUUGAACAGCUGCAGUGUGUUAAGUGCUAGGGACAUGGAGAUGAUUAGGACAGGUCUCUGCUUCCCAGGAGCCUGCAGCCUGAGGCGGGGGGGCAGGGAGCCGGGGGGACAGCUAUAUAAACAAAUCACUGGGGGCCGUGGAGUAAGCCAGUGAUAAGCAUGGCAGGGUUUUAUGAGAUCCAAGAUAAAGGGAGGGGGAAUGAGGCAGGGUGGACAGGGCCGGGGGUAGCGGGGGGAGACUUCCUGCAGAGAGGAGGCCGGACUGGGAGGGAGGGUGAAGGGAUGGGAUGAGAGGGGUGGAGGGAAGCAAAGGAUGGGCAGGAAGAGGAGGCGGAGGGACUGCGAGCAGCAUCUAGUGGAAGGCUGAGAAGAGUAGAUGAGGCCACUACUCAUCUACUCAUCAUGGCACAAAACAAACAACAUGACACCCAGGAUACCUGCCGUCUCCCAGGGGAACUGAGCCAGGUGACCACCACAGCUAUGCGGGUGUCAUUGAUUUCUUCACUGAAAUGCCACCCUGGGGAUACCACAGGGAGCAAAACAAACACACACUCUGUGCUCAGGGCCUGUAAAAGACUAGCUGGUGGCCUGGUGGAGACCAGGUAUUGGGGGAGCAGGCGGCGGGGGGGGGGGGGGCAGAAAAGAGCCUUGACCCAGCUUCAGGGCCCAGGGAAGGCUUCCUGGAAGCGGUGUCCUCUGGUCAGCUCCCCUUCUCAGAUUUUAAGGAGGAGUGAGAAAGGUGUGUGCAGAGAGAGAGAGAGAACACCAUCACCUUUCUUCUGAAACCCUCAGCCUCCCAGGCCCAAGAAAUGAAACCCCAGGCCCAGACUGGAGGAGAAGAUGGAAAAUAGGCUGGAAAAGGCCUGCAGAGCAAUGCCGGUUGUUCUGUGGUCUUCCUGGCCGUCCCCUGGAACAUGGGCCUGUUUUGCAAACACAGCAAGUUAGGUCAAAUAUGUGCGGUUUGGCCCUGGCUCAGCCAACCCAACUCUCUAAGCAAAUAGCAAAACUUUUUUUCUCUUUUUUUCCUAAACGCAAUUUUCUCUGGGUGCAUAAUUUAUAGAACUCCAGCGAACUGCAGUUUGGCUUUCUUCCCAAGAAGGGAAAACAUCUCCUCAGAUUUUCCACACACCCGCCUCAUUCUGCUGGCUGCUGGCCAAGACUUCCCAGGAGGGUGGGGGCAGGGCUCCUGCCACUCUGGAGAAAGGCAGGGGUGUACCACCACCCGGAGCAGUGUGGGCAGCGAUCCCAGGGGUCGUGGCCACCGUGGUGCUGGUGGGCGUUCAUAACAGGGGUAGGAGGGAGGUCAGGAAACUGUGCCAACAGCAGGGCUGCUAGAAAACUACGCUGGGGACCAGUCGACCCAGGAAGAGCCUGCCACUGUUGACAAAGCAUCUUCUCAUCUCGCCUGAGUCUCCCAACAGCUCCACAAGGAGGGUAGGACACAUAUAAUUACUAUUCCCAUGUAACCGAUGAAUUGCUAAAAGGGGGAACAGGUCACUUGAAAUUAGCCUGACUCAAGUUAGAAUCCCUCCUCUGCCACUGAGUGACCUUGGGCAACUUGCAAAACCUCGUGCAGUCUCAUCUGUUUUAGCAGGAACAAUGACAGCGUUUCCCCGAAGGGGCUGUGCUGAGGGUUGAAUGAGGUACAGCAUGUAAGGAGCCCACUCCAUGCCCGGCCCCAGCGGAUGCUCUCUUGCUUCAAUUACAAUGGCUGGAGAGGGUUCCUGAGUCCUGGGGGCACUGCUGGGACUGCGACCCGGUGUUUGGACUCUCAGCACGGCCUUUUAUGCUGCCUGUCACCCGUGUGCCCAUGGGCCCAGCCCAUCCCGAAGCAGAGGCUGCAAGCUUUCCUUUGCAUUCCUAGCUGAGAGAUCCCGGCUGGGAGCUGAGGAGUCCUGAGGUCCAGUAGGUCAGUCCUUAAGUCCAAAUGCCUGUCAUGCUCUGUGGGGGCAAAUAGCUUUAGAAACUGCAUAGCUCGUGAAACUUAAGCUUCAGAACAUGAGCUCCAGUUCACAAUCAGCCUGUUUCCUCUUAUAGUCAAGGGCGAGCAUCCAGAUCCCCCUUCAUUUAUCAUUGUCAUUGCUGCUCAGAAAGGUCAGUGAGCAUUCCUCUCGGUUGCUUCCAGCCACUUGGCUCUGGGCAGUGAUUCCCACAGAGAGACUUAGAGGCUCUGAGCCUUACACAUAGUAGGCAUUCAAGAAUGUUUGCUGGGAAGUGCUCAGGCAGUGCCCCCAUUAGGGGUGGGAAGUUUGUGUCAUCACAGCAUAUAUAGAAACAGCAUUUCCCCAUCUGGACCAGUUCAGUAGGUACUCUGUUAUAGACCCGGAGUGUUCCCCCAAGGAAAAUUCUACAGACUGUACAUAUAUUUUCUCUG